rnacentral:rRNA from 1 species
UACGUAUGGUGCAAGCGUUAUCCGGAUUUACUGGGUGUAAAGGGAGCGCAGGCGGCGCGGCAAGUCCGGUGUGAAAGCCCGGGGCUCAACCCCGGUACUGCACUGGAAACUGUCGUGCUUGAGUGUCGGAGGGGCAGGCGGAAUUCCUGGUGUAGCGGUGAAAUGCGUAGAUAUCAGGAGGAACACCGGUGGCGAAGGCGGCCUGCUGGACGACAACUGACGCUGAGGCUCGAAAGCGUGGGGAGCAAACA